rnacentral:rRNA from 1 species
AGUCGGCUCGAAGGAAGAACGCGUGGCGGCGUGUCGUACACAUGCAAGUCGAACGGUGAACCAGAGCUUGCUCUGGGGAUCAGUGGCGAACGGGUGAGUAACACGUGGGCAACCUGCCCCAGACUCUGGGAUAACCUCGGGAAACCGAUGCUAAUACCGGAUACGACCACUUCGGACAUCCGACGGUGGUGGAAAGUUUUUCGGUCUGGGAUGGGCCCGCGGCCUAUCAGCUAGUUGGUGGGGUAAUGGCCUACCAAGGCGACGACGGGUAGCCGGCCUGAGAGGGCGACCGGCCACACUGGAACUGAGACACGGUCCAGACUCCUACGGGAGGCAGCAGUGGGAAUAUUGCACAAUGGGCGAAAGCCUGAUGCAGCGACGCCGCGUGAGGGACGACGGCCUUCGGGUUGUAAACCUCUUUCAGCAGGGACGAAGCGAAAGUGACUGUACCUGCAGAAGAAGCACCGGCUAACUACGUG